CGGUAGAGAGGUGCUUGCACCUCUUGAGAGCGGCGGACGGGUGAGUAAUGCCUAGGAAUCUGCCUGGUAGUGGGGGAUAACGCUCGGAAACGGACGCUAAUACCGCAUACGUCCUACGGGAGCAGGGGACCUUCGGGCCUUGCGCUAUCAGAUGAGCCUAGGUCGGAUUAGCUAGUUGGUGAGGUAAUGGCACCAAGGCGACGAUCCGUAACUGGUCUGAGAGGAUGAUCAGUCACACUGGAACUGAGACACGUCCAGACUCCUACGGGAGGCAGCAGUGGGGAAUAUUGGACAAUGGGCGAAAGCCUGAUCCAGCCAUGCCGCGUGUGUGAAGAAGGUCUUCGGAUUGUAAAGCACUUUAAGUUGGGAGGAAGGGCAUUAUAAUACGUUAGUGUUUUGACGUUACCGACAGAAUAAGCACCGGCUAACUCUGUGCCAGCAGCCGCGGUAAUACAGAGGGUGCAAGCGUUAAUCGGAAUUACUGGGCGUAAAGCGCGCGUAGGUGGUUCGUUAAGUUAUGUGAAAUCCCCGGGCUCAACCUGGGAACUGCAUUCAAAACUGUCGAGCUAGAGUAUGGUAGAGGGUGGUGGAAUUUCCUGUGUAGCGGUGAAAUGCGUAGAUAUAGGAAGGAACACCAGUGGCGAAGGCGACCACCUGGACUGAUACUGACACUGAGGUGCGAAAGCGUGGGGAGCAAACAGAGAUACCCUGGUAGUACGCCGUAAACGAUGUCAACUAGCCGUUGGGAGCCUUGAGCUCUUAGUGGCGCAGCUAACGCAUUAAGUUGACCGCCUGGGGAGUACGGCCGCAAGGUUAAAACUCAAAUGAAUUGACGGGGGCCCGCACAAGCGGUGGAGCAUGGUUUAAUUCGAAGCAACGCGAAGAACCUUACCAGGCCUUGACAUCCAAUGAACUUUCCAGAGAUGGAUUGGUGCCUUCGGGAGCAUUGAGACAGGUGCUGCAUGGCUGUCGUCAGCUCGUGUCGUGAGAUGUUGGGUUAAGUCCCGUAACGAGCGCAACCCUUGUCCUUAGUUACCAGCACGUUAUGGUGGGCACUCUAAGGAGACUGCCGGUGACAAACCGGAGGAAGGUGGGGAUGACGUCAAGUCAUCAUGGCCCUUACGGCCUGGGCUACACACGUGCUACUGGUCGGUACAGAGGGUUGCCAAGCCGCGAGGUGGAGCUAAUCCCACAAAACCGAUCGUAGUCCGGAUCGCAGUCUGCAACUCGACUGCGUGAAGUCGGAAUCGCUAGUAAUCGCGAAUCAGAAUGUCGCGGUGAAUACGUUCCCGGGCCUUGUACACACCGCCCGUCACACCAUGGGAGUGGGUUGCACCAGAAGUAGCUAGUCUCCUUCGGGGGACGGUACC
rnacentral:rRNA from 1 species